UCGGGCCAGGGGUCACUCCGUCAGUGCAGUGCUGGGAUCCUCAUGGGAACAGAAGCGAUGAGGUCAAAAAUGUUGCCUUGCCCCUUCAGUUGGGAUUUAAGAGAAUAAACAGGUGAAUUUGGGUCUGUGAACCCGUGCCCAGGACAGCCCCGGGCCGACAGGCAGCAGGCGGAGGCUGCGUUAAUUUGGGAUGGAGGCACUGGGAGCAGUGUGUCAUCCGAUCUCCUUCUCCUGGGAUUUUUAAGGCAUUCUUCCAGAGAAUGCUUUAUAACCCCACGGCCAAAGGAUUCGUGAUCGCCGGGUAUGUGAAGCUGAGCAAUCUGAUGUUACUGCGGGGAGAUCGAUGCACCGGGCUGCUCCCUGCCACUCCUUGCCUAAGUUCUGCGUGGUUGAGCCUGAGGAAUACAUGUUGCUGGUCCUGGGUGUGAGCCAAAGAGUUGGAGAAAAUCAGCAGUGAGCGUGCUGGAAGGCGAUGUGCAAUUAGCCAAUUAAACAGGCGGUGUUUGCUCGGUG